rnacentral:rRNA from 1 species
GACGAACGCUGGCGGCGUGCUUAACACAUGCAAGUCGAACGGUGAAGCGCCUUCCUUUUUGGUGGGUGUGGAUGAGUGGCGAACGGGUGAGUAACACGUGAGUAACCUGCCCCCUUCUUCUGGAUAACCGCAUGAAAGUGUGGCUAAUACGGAAUAUCCGGGGCUGUUGCAUGAUGGGUCUGGGGAAGGUUUUGUUUCGGUGGGGGGUGGGCUCGCGGCCUAUCAGCUUGGUGGUGGGGUGAUGGCCUACCAAGGCGGUGACGGGUAGCCGGCCUGAGAGGGUGGACGGCCACACUGGGACUGAGACACGGCCCAGACUCCUACGGGAGGCAGCAGUGGGGAAUAUUGCACAAUGGGCGCAAGCCUGAUGCAGCGACGCCGCGUGAGGGAUGGAGGCCUUCGGGUUGUGAACCUCUUUCGCCAGUGAAGCAGGCCUGCCUCGUUUGUGGGUGGGUUGACGGUAGCUGGAUAAGAAGCGCCGGCUAACUACGUG